rnacentral:lncRNA from 12 species
CUCCCUCAUUCUCUUCACUAGCUCAGGACCAGUGGGACAGACAGACACAGUCAGCCAGCAGGUCAGCUGACUGCCAGGAUACUGUAGAACACUACCCAAAGUGAAAAACCAACACUGCUUCCCAUAAAGCAGACGUCACAACACGAUAGCAGCUCCAGAGAAUAUUAAUGGCUAUAGAUAAGCUUUGGAUGAGUCCCCUUCAGAGAGGCGACAUAUUUUUUCUAAAGUCACAGUGAAAACAAACAGAAACAUGUUGUGGAACUCUGGCCAGCCAUGUUGCCUGCUAAGGGUGCCUGGAGAGAGUGCCCAGCGGUUGGAGAGCUAGGAGGAAGAGUUCAUCCAACACCAGCUGUUUCCUCCAUGACGCCCCCAAGUUCAACCCAACAAAGUCAAAGUUGUGUGCUCGUGGGAAAGUGGGUGUCACAUCUGCCCUGGCUCCAAGAUUGGCUCCCUGAGUCUGUCUCCAAAAAGGUUGAUGAUCACAUCACCGAGGUAACUAGAGGCUAGAAGGGUCUGAGGAUCACAGUGGAACUGACUAUUCAGAGCAGACAGGCCCAGACUGAUAGGCACCUGCUGUCUCUAGCUCGAUUAUCACAGCCCUUAAGGAACAGGGCACACACAGAAAGACCUAGAAAAAUGUUAAGUACAGUAUGAAUAUAUUUUUUCUUUUUCUUUCUUUCUUUCUCUCUUUCUUUCUCUCUUUCUUUCUUUUUCUUUCUUUCUUUCUUUCUUUCUUUCUUUCUUUCUUUCUUUCUUUCUUUCUUUUUUUAAGAGAGAGAACUGAGUGAGGUGGGGGUGGGGAGGAGAGACAAAGGGAGAGGGAGAGAGAGAAUCUCAAGCAGGCUCCACACACAACACAGAGCCCAAUGUUGGGCUCGAUCCCAUGACCCUGAGAUCAUGACCUGAGCUGAAAUCAAGAGUCAGACCCUUAACCGACUGAUCACUCAGGCGCCCCAGUAG